UUCAGCACUCCCACUAGGAUGGGAUGGCCCAUAAAGGUACAACUCCACAUCCUGCAAACUGCUCGUUUUGUAGAUCUGCUUUAUAGUAUGCGAAUGAUGACACUAUUAUUACUGCCAGCCAAAGUUAAACAAUUAAAUUUCUUCUUGCCUAGUAAAUGGGAUCAACAGGAUGUGGGUCUAGGAGGAGGUCAUCAGCUGUAUGAGCUACACCUGGGCCCUGUGUGGUAGGGAGCUAAAAAGCUCUCCACCUUUAUGUCUUACUCCCUUUUAUUGCGGGUUUAGCUGCUGUUUGUUUUUUGUGUUGUGAUUGACAUUUCCACACACACGUAUACUAACAUGACUGAUACUGAUUUCCAUCUUAUUAUCUUUAAUAUCAUUUUGUAAAAUAAAUUAUGUUAUUGUUAA